CCGUCCCACCUUCAGCUGCCGCUCCUCUUGCCAAGACUAUGGUAGGGAGCUUGGGGGUGGACGGAGAUGAAAUACCUCUUAAUUUAGGAGGGCUUCUGUGGAGCGUGGAGAAGCCCUCAAAGGCGCGAGAGGACAUC